rnacentral:rRNA from 1 species
AUUGAACGCUGGCGGCAUGCCUUACACAUGCAAGUCGAACGGUAACAGCACUUCGGUGGCUGACGAGUGGCGAACGGGUGAGUAAUACAUCGGAACGUGCCCGAGAGUGGGGGAUAACGCAGCGAAAGCUGUGCUAAUACCGCAUACGAUCUACGGAUGAAAGCAGGGGAUUCGCAAGGACCUUGCGCUCAUGGAGCGGCCGAUGGCAGAUUAGGUAGUUGGUGGGAUAAAAGCUUACCAAGCCGACGAUCUGUAGCUGGUCUGAGAGGACGACCAGCCACACUGGGACUGAGACACGGCCCAGACUCCUACGGGAGGCAGCAGUGGGGAAUUUUGGACAAUGGGCGAAAGCCUGAUCCAGCCAUGCCGCGUGCAGGAUGAAGGCCUCGGUU